rnacentral:lncRNA from 1 species
GGAAAAGUUUCUUUUAAAAUUCCUGUUUCACUCACAUCAGCAGUUGGCCCUCUGUCUAAACUGGAGAAGCAUCAAACAUGAUGAUUUCAUCCUGUGGUACAGCAAAAAAUAGUUAAUGGUGUGUUUGUGUCACAUGGACCACAUGUGUAGACUGUUUAUAAAAUAUCUGUGUCGAUUCCCUCAUGCAUGCACAUGCCCAGAGUAAAAGGAAUAUGUAACACCUGAGGCUGGGAUCAAAAGAUGAAGUAUUUUCACAUGCUAUGGUAAGUACAUUUGCAUUAUAAUUUAUAAGUGGUCUGUCAGUCUAGCUGUCUAAUCUGCUACUGAUGUCAGGGUCUUUGUACCUACCUCAGUCCUGCUGUAUUUCUUUGCUAUCAUUUUCUUUUCCAG